UAUAUAUGCAAAGUCCGCUCAACGCGCUUCGCACAUCUUCCCGCGCUCUCUCUCUCUCUCUCUAGUAGGGAUGUCAAUGGGUAUGGAUACUCGAAAUUUUAUCCGAAUUCGAACCCGAAUAAAGCAGAUAUAUCCGAUGAAUAUGGAUAUAGAUUUGGAUAUGGAUAUAAAAAAUAAAAAUCCGACGAAUAUGGAUUCGGAUAUGGAUUUUGAUUGUACCCGACCCGAACCCGACCCAAACCCGAAUUUAUUUUGUAUUAUAUAUAAUAUAUAUAUAAAAAUUUGAUGUUAUAUUUGAAUUUGUAUUUUAUAAAUUUAAAUUUAAUAUAAUAUAUUUUGAAAUAUUGAAAAAAAAAUUUAUUUCGGGUUCAAAUUUUCGGAUUCGGGUUCGGGUUCGGGUUUGGAUUUCGAAUUUUUGGUCGGGUUUGGGUUUGGGUUUGGAUAUGGAUUUUUAAAAUCCGUCAGGUUCGGGUUCGGAUUCGGGUCUCGGGUUUGGAGUCGGGUUCGGGUUUGGGUUUUUAAAAAUCCGCCCCGAAUCCGACCCGUUGACAUCUCUACUCUCAAGCCCCACCCUCCAGAACGUUC
rnacentral:lncRNA from 1 species